GCCCCGUUGGCUCAAUGGUUAAUCAUUUGGCUGCUAACCGAAAGGUAGGUGGUUUGAAUCCACCCAGAGGCU
rnacentral:tRNA from 1 species